rnacentral:piRNA from 1 species
UUACAUAUUGAGAUAGUCAAA